CCUACGGGUGGCAGCAGUGGGGGAUAUUGGACAAUGGGGGAAACCCUGAUCCAGCGAUGCCGCGUGAGGGAAGAAGGUUUUCGGAUUGUAAACCUCUGUGGAGGGGGACGAUAAUGACGGUACCCCUUUAGGAAGCCACUGCUAACUACGUGCCAGCAGCCGCGGUAAUACGUAGGUUGCGAGCCUGGUCCGGAAUUAAUGGUGGUAAAGGGGGUGUAGGUGGGAAAGCAAGUCAGAAGUGAAAACUAUGGGCUUAACCCAGAGACUGCUUUUGAAACUGGUUUUCUUGAGUGAAGUAGAGGCGAGCGGAAUUCCUGGUGUAGCGGUGAAAUGCGUAGAUAUUAGGAGGAACACCAGUGGCGAAGGCGGCUUGCUGGGCUUUUACUGACGCUGAGGCGCGAAAGCGUGGGGAGCAAACAGGAUUAGAUACCCCAGUAGUC
rnacentral:rRNA from 1 species